rnacentral:lncRNA from 1 species
CCUCUUCUCAUGCAGCCACCCACCCAUCCUGUGGGGGAGGGGGAUACCUCGCUGUGGUCACUGGCUUGGGAUGGGCAAAGGCCUGUUUGCAGGGGUGGAGCUCUGCCCUGUAGUCUGCUGGGAGGCUGCCAGGGGGGUCUGGGGCAUCGUCCUGGAUAUCACUCUUGGCAUACCCGACUGGGCACCCUCUCUGCUCCGCCCAGUGCUGCUUCCUGGCUGACAGGCCCUCGAGCUAUGUCCCCUGUGUCCAUCCACCCCCACAUGCAGCAUGAGGGGUCCUGGACUCAAGCCUCACCGGGUCCUCUCGGCCAGAGCCCUGCUGCCGCAGCCUCGGAGCACCAGGCUGCUUGGCAAGGCACAGAAGGCCCAGAGGUGCGACACGGUAGAGUGCCGGGCCCUUCAAUGCCCGGUGCUGGCCGGUCCCGGCGCUGCCCUGGCUUAGCGCAGGUGACGGUGCUGUCGGCCAGCGGGUGGGUGGGCGUGAGGUGUGGACCGAGCGCCGUGGGCCGGCAGGUAAGUCUCCCGACCUCCCGACUUCAUCCGAGAGGUGAGGCUGUGUGGGCGCCUGGCUGGCCUUGGCCACCUCCCUGCACGGUGAGUGGGCGUGGGCUGGGCGAGCUGUUCCCCUUCCGCGUGCCUGUAGAUCGAGUACUCACUGACCACUGCGCCCCUUCUGUGCUGGGCUUGGCAGAGUCACCAGAUGACAGUGGCCGCUGGUCUCAGAAAUGUUGGUGUCGACUUGUGCAGCCCUGACUGGCCUAGGACAGCCUGUCACUGCCGCCAUUCUGCAGGCAGCUGAGCCCAGUCUGGCACAGGGUCCAAGGACACGGCUGUGAAUUAAGCAGAACGGAAUAGAGCCGGGCGGAGACACAGAUCCACUUUUGCAGGACUGGGCUGGAGCUGCGGGUCAGAGGCCCUCCAUUGGCCCCAAAUGCCACUCUGGCCUCCCUGCCCUGGCUGUCAGCCUGGAGGGGAAGCCUCCUUAUCCAGGAUGUGGUGUUCAAGGGGGUCUGCAAAGACACCAACACCUUCUUUGUGACUGGCUCUCUAGUGUGCCAGCUAGGGACAGGGCCAGUCCUGGGCCUGGGCCCCCAGAGGGCCAUGGCUUCAAGGUGUGUGGGUGGCUUGGGAAGUUGACCUGGGCCCCUCUCUCGGCUGUGACCCCAACUGUGAGGGGUAUGCUCCAAGCAUCACUCUAGCUUGUGCUUGCCAUGCUGGGGGCCUGGGAAGCACAGGCUGCAGGGAAGGGGCUGGGAGGGGCCUUCUCAAAGCCCCCAGUGACCUCCCGGAUGGCCCAACCAGGUUCUCCCAAUUCCCUGAGCCCUCCCGUGUGGUGGAGGCCCCGCGGCUGUCCCUCAUAGUUCAUCCCAAGGACCACUGUGGGCAGGAGCUCUGGGGAGGGACUCCCGGAAGGCUGGGCGAUGCAGCCCAGGGCGGAGAGUCCAAGGCUGAAGCGUGGAGGUGUGAGGACGCAUCUCUCCUGGAGCCACGAAGGGGGUCCCUCUUCCUUGUAGCCUGACCUCUGGGCACAGUACAGCCUUGGUGGGGGGGGCCUCUGGGGUGUUUUGGUUGGUCAGCGAGGGCUCUUGAGGUUGGAAGGCUGUGUGUGGUGGCUGUGGGGACGCCAGUCAGCCACACCAGGGACAGGAAGGACGGUCAUCACCCCCCAGCUUCCUGUGCUUUAUUUAAAGAUUCCCUUUUAGUCUGGGAUAGUGGCCUUCCCACAUUUUUGGUAUUAAAAUGUUCUUCUGUG